UCAACUGACUAAUUACCAAACAUUAUCUAAUUUUGUGGUGGGCAAAGGAAAUGUGUCAAGGGUAGGAGAGAUAGGGCCUCUAUCGCUUCGCUGGACAUUGUGCCUCAAAAGAUUGGAAAAUGUGACUAAUGUUGAGGAUGCAACAAGCACAACCUCAGCUCUCUUCAGAGAUUAACAAUCGCUUACUGUAAAGGUUUGGUGUCCAUUCUAGAAGAGGGUUUUCCCUCAAACCUAACAGUACUUAAAAUUGUGGAUCCCAAGAGUUGUAAGCCACUCUCUGAGUGGGGAUUGCAGUUGGAGAAACUCACCUCUCUAAAAGAGUUGUGGAUCUCUGGUGUAGAUCCAUAUAUGGUGUCCUUUCCACCAGAGGAUAUAGAGUUGAUGCUCCCUAAAUCCGUCAGUAGACUCGACAUUGCAAACUUCCCAAGUCUGAGGCGCCUAUCCAGGAAGGCCCUUCAGUCCCUCACCUCUCUUGAAUAUCCUGAGAUUGCUGAUUGUCAAAAGCUAGCAUCCAUUCCAGAGAAGUAUCUGCCUCUUUCACUUGCAAAACUUCACAUAUAUGCAUGUCCGAAGCUAAAAGAUAGAUAUACUUGCAACACAACAUACUGGUCCAAAAUAGCUCACAUCCCUUGCAUACAUAUUGGAGAUGAGUAUUUGAGCCCACUGAAGACUCACAGCUAACAUCCCUGGCCCUUCAAGAUGGUCUGUUGCAUAUGAAAACCACGUGCUGGAGCUGUCGGGCCCACUGGAACUCUUCAAAGGCGUUAAAGCAGGAGGAUGUAUGUGCAGUUGUUCAGGAAAGCAUGACAGUAUCCUCAGCUUAUACUCGGUCAAAAAAUGUUGUUCAAUACUGAAAAGCCAAAGAAUGUAUGUGCAGUUGUUCAAAAGCUGAGGUACAAGAGGGUCAUGCUAGCAUAAAAUCAUUGACCGCUGGUGCCUGGAGAUCAACGCCUGUUUAUACCUUUGGCCUUGUUUUAUAGUAUCAUGCACUAAUGGAUCGAGGCGCAUAAUAUCACAGACCUCUGAUGUGUUACCCAGCAUGUUUGGUGUUUAUACAGAUACCAAUAUCAUUUCUCAGUGUGUUCUUGCAAGUCUUCGUGCUCCUUAUCAGUUGUAUGUUUAAUUGAGAGUAAAAAUAGAAUAGAAAAGAGUUGACAACUUGACAACUUUGGUGCUACGGUGACGUUCUGAGUGUAUUGUGCAAGUAAAGGUUGUCAUUGUACGUACCAUCAAUACUGGUUUCAAUUUUGUGUUCUCUCGGUCAUUGUGGAUCUGAUCAAGUUUUAUUUUGGCGGGUUUUUCUCUUUAUGAUGCAAAACAAGUCGGUUAGGAUUAGGCUAGAUCGGUAGUUCAA